UGCAUUACGGAACUGAGCGGGUGACCGGCCACACUGGGACUGAGACACGGCCCAGACUCCUACGGGAGGCAGCAGUAGGGAAUUUUCGGCAAUGGGGGAAACCCUGACCGAGCAACGCCGCGUGAAGGAAGAAGUAAUUCGUUAUGUAAACUUCUGUCAUAGAGGAAGAACGGUGCGUGUAGGGAAUGACAUGCAAGUGACGGUACUCUAUAAGAAAGCCACGGCUAACUACGUGCCAGCAGCCGCGGUAAUACGUAGGUGGCGAGCGUUAUCCGGAAUUAUUGGGCGUAAAGAGGGAGCAGGCGGCACUAAGGGUCUGUGGUGAAAGAUCGAAGCUUAACUUCGGUAAGCCAUGGAAACCGUAGAGCUAGAGUGUGUGAGAGGAUCGUGGAAUUCCAUGUGUAGCGGUGAAAUGCGUAGAUAUAUGGAGGAACACCAGUGGCGAAGGCGACGAUCUGGCGCAUAACUGACGCUCAGUCCCGAAAGCGUGGGGAGCAAAUAGGAUUAGAUACCCUAGUAGUCCACGCCGUAAACGAUGAGUACUAAGUGUUGGGAGUCAAAUCUCAGUGCUG
rnacentral:rRNA from 1 species